rnacentral:lncRNA from 1 species
UCUGUUCUGGAUUAUAUACCAGAUCUUGUGACCUUUCCCCUUGUAGAAUUGCUAGUUGGUCCAUGUGUUUCUUGGUUAGUUCUCUGAAACUAUGACCUUAAUAUAAUUUGCUUCUGUCAGUAAACUUAAUCUAAAAAUCACAUAUGGAAGGGACUAGUCAGCCUGUAUUAGCCUUGUCCUAAUUUUAACUUAGAAUCUUCAAGAUAACCUGAAGUAUGCUUAUCUUUCCUAUAAUACUUGUUGGAAUUUAAUUCCAUUGAUAAAGGUAGCAUUAGUAUCAAGCUAACUAUUCAGUUUAACUCUAACCAUUGACAACGUUGAACAUUAAUCAUUCAAGUUCUUCCGUUUUGUACCAAGCUAAAGAACUGUGGGUUGAGCAUAUGUAAUCUUGAUAAUUGCUUUGGAUUUAAACUCUAUGAACCGAAGUGUUUUUUUCAGUUCAUCAUCUCUGUCCAUUUUGACUUUAUUCAUACACCAUUGAAUUGAUCUGUUGUUGUCUUAGCUUCAAGUUUGAUUUGAAAAACGUGUAUUAGUGACAAAGCAACGAAAACAUGAAUCAAUGUAUUGUUAAGGUUUCGAGUUUUCCAGUAGAUUAUUGUCAGAGAGGACAACAUUUUAUUAUGUGUGCAUCUGUUUCUUUGUGAAACAUGCAUGUAAAUAAAAAUAUGUGCUUAUAUAUAGUUUUAAACGUGAUAUUGUGUAGUAACAACACUGUUCUUUCUUGUUUUGCAGGUUUACUAAAGCUAUCCGAUAAAAAUGUUCAAAGAAGUUGAUGGUGGAAGUUUUAGUAGAGUAACUAUUUCAACAACAAACAUUUUGCUAUGGAUCAGUCACACAUGGGCAUUUUUUAUGGAACAAAAUGCUUAUCAUUGCUGGAUUUCUAGCCGUAGUUUGUAUUUUUGUUGUUAAAACCAUGAUUAGCACACCUCUGUAGUGCUAUGUUAUUUGUGUGAAUCGAUAUGUAUAACUUGUGGUUAGCGUCUGUCAGUGGGUUGAAGUGUUAUUUUGCUGAUUACCUGUGUGUUUCAUGUUUUUUCCUUAAAAUUCGUGAAUUAUUAUCUAGUACUUUGUGUCAUUCCUGAAAUUUUUUUCAAGGAAAUAUACAUAAAUUUUGAUUACUUCUGAAUUGGUAUGAUGUUUCUGUAAAGAAACCGAGUCAUUUUCAUGAUUCCUGAAUAUUAC